rnacentral:rRNA from 1 species
AACGAACGCUGGCAGCAUGCCUAACACAUGCAAGUCGAACGAAACCUUCGGGUCUAUUGGCGCACGGGUUCGUAACGCGUGGGAACCUUCCCUUAUGUUCGGAAUAACUCCCCGAAAGGGGUGCUAAUACCGGAUAAUGUCUUCUGACCAAAGAUUUAUCGCCUUGGGAUGGUCCCACGUUGGAUUAGCUAGUUGGUAGGGUAAAAGCCCACAAAGGCGAGAAUCCAUAACUGGUAUGGGGGGAUGCUCAGCCACACUGGGACGGACACCCGUCCCGAACCCUUCGGGAAGGCAGAAGGGGGGAUAAUGGAACACCGGGCGAAGGAUGAAGCAGGUAGGACCGGGUAAGUCUGGAAGUAUUUAGGUUCGAAAGGCUAUUUAACCGGGCAUGUAAUGACAGUACCGGGAGAAAAAGCCCCGGCUAACUACGUG